GUUACACAUUGCCGAUUUCCUGGUUAGAGCCACCUUAGUAUAUCAGCAAUGGUUACACAUUGCCGAUUUCCUGGUUAGAGCCACCUUAGUAUAUCAGCAAUGGAAUUCUGCUAGCAACAGCAAGCACCAAGGGUACACUAAUCCGGAUUUUCAACACGCUAGAAGGUACAUUGUUGCAGGAAGGUAAGGAAUUUGUGUCGUCAUUGUUUUAGUUUGAUCAUGUUUUGCAUACUCUUUUGUUACAUAACGUGAAGUAAUCGCAGCAUCUCUGUUACUCAUAGUAUUUUUUUCCCCUUGUCGGGCCAAAAUAAGAAUACUUAAUGAUGGAGGCGAUAUUGACAUUGUUAUAUGGACUAUAAUUUUUUAUGUUGCUGCUUUAGUGGAGAUCUCCAGUCGCUUUAAAUUCCCUUUACCUGUUGUCAGCCUUCAUUUCUGUUCUUACGAUGAUUCAGCAUAAUGCCAACUGGCUGAUCAUCCAAAUUAUAUUUUUUAGUUCUUUGCCAACAACUUACUGGAGCAGUUUUACGUUUCCUCAUUACGUUUUACCAAUUUAGCUUGCAGUAUUCUGAUAUUAUCAACCCUCUAUAUCUGGGUCAAACACUACAUAUUAUCAAAAAUAAAAUACAAUAUUUGAAAUCUAGAAAUGUGUAUGGUUUUUCACCCUUUUACAGUUUACUCCCUUGAACCCAAAACAAGUUUAAUAGACAUCGUUUGCUACUACUUCUUUUUCUAUCUUGAAUGAGUUUUCCUCCCAUAAUGUCAACUACAAGAGUAAUUUCUACAUUUUGUCAUCCUCAUCCAUAGUAUGAUGCCGGACAUAAUUGAUAAUGAUUGUAAGAUUGAACUUUUUUUAUGGCUUUCUAUUUCUUCUUAGCCUGCCUAUACGAUUUCUUUGAACUUCCAACUAACAGCAUUACAUGUUUGUCUUUUGCUAAAUCACGUAUGAUUCAGGUAAGAAGGGGUUUGGAUAGAGCAGAAAUAUAUAGUUUGUCAUUCUCUCCAACUGCUCAGUGUCUAGCUGUCUCCAGCGACAAAGGCACUGUUUCACAUAGUCAUAAAGCUCUCGGACUCUUCCCAAGUAUUUUAGCUCAGAAUGGUCUGUGGCUCAAUUCCGACUGCCUGGUGUUUCUCAUUACAUUGUUACAUUUGGCAACGAAAAUAAUACACUUAUAAUUCUCGGCUGGGACGGAAGCUUUUUCAGAUGCAAGUUUGAUCCAGCAUCCAGCAAAGAAAUGACUCAGUUGGAAUAUCACAACUUUCUGGAUCCUGAAGAACCUUGUAAUUGAAAGUGUGGAUGAUGUUCGUGACCAAGAAGGUUACUAUGGCUUCCCCUUCAUUGCAAAUAGUAGGUUAAAGUCUCUUUUAAGCACAGAAUAUAGGCAAGUUAGCAUAUACAACCAACAGACUUCAAUUUGUUGAUGUACAAAAAAAGAAAGAAGAUUUUGAUAUAGUUGAGUGAAAAUGUAUAUCCAGAGUUUCCAACAACAAACAAUUCCUUGUAUAGUAAAGAUGCAUGAGUUUUCCCUUUUCGUAGAAGUAUAAUUGUUUUGCCUUCUUGUUA